UACGUAGGGAGCAAGCGUUGUCCGGAAUUACUGGGCGUAAAGGGCGCGUAGGCGGCCUUGUAAGUCUCGUGUGAAAGCCCUCGGCUUAACUGAGGAUCUGCACGGGAUACUGGCAGGCUUGAAUCCGGGAGAGGGAUGUGGAAUUCCAGGUGUAGCGGUGAAAUGCGUAGAUAUCUGGAGGAACACCGGUGGCGAAGGCGGCAUCCUGGACCGGUAUUGACGCUGAGGCGCGAAAGCCAGGGGAGCAAACGGG
rnacentral:rRNA from 1 species